CGCCCGGCUCGUCCCAGACUGGGGACUCCGCUCUUUGUUUCCAUAACUUCGGGCACCUCUGGGCGGCCGAGCGCACCCGGCGGCUCGGGCUCAGGCGGGGCGGCCGUGAGUCGGCACGAUCUCGCAUCGCCCCGCGUCCAGCCCGGGGCAUCUGUCCUUCAACGACUCAGCGCGUCCCCGCCCGCACCCCCAGAACCGCACAGCGUCCCCAGCGACGGCCACACGGAAUCCUACACGUGUGUGAGAAGGUGCUGUCUGCUCCAUGUGUGUGGCCGUGGUGGGGCCCUGGAGGGAACCCCAUUGGCAGAGGGACAGAGAAACCCCAUUGCAGAUCCAUGCUUCCCUGGGGUGUCAGGGAGGGCACUGGAGGACGCCCAGGAAACCGGACAAAACCCAGAGGCCAAGCUGGGAUUUUGUCCCAGCUGUUUCUGCGUUUGGGAGGCUCCUGACCCAAAUCUGCCUCAAGGGAAGCCCGAGGGGGUGGGGAUGGGGCCCUCAGGUUCAGGCUGGCAGCUCCCCCCAUUCUCUGAGCCAGGCCAGCCGGGCGUCUGUCCCACGUGAGACCCUCUGGACAGUCCUGGGGGCCAGGUGAGUUCGUGGGGCCGCAUCCUGCUUGGUCCUGGUGGGGGUCCUGCCCCCUCCCCACAGCUGCUCCCGGAAGCUUGCACCACCUUUGGCAUCUUCCUGGCUGCCCCCCUCCCCAGCCUCCUGCAAAUCCUGAAUCAGGGGGGCUUGGAAUUGGGAAACAGGCAGUGGGAACGACCCUCCCUACCCUCUCCCUCUCCGACUUCUUAACUCUGUAACUUCACUUUUGUUCUCCACCUGGGGGUGGGGGCGAGGAGAAGAGGCAGCUAGCUCCCUUUGCGGAAGCUCAGGGUGGGGGAGGGCCGGCUCAGAGGGUGGGCAGGAGACCUGGAGGAAUCUG